rnacentral:rRNA from 1 species
ACGGAGGGAGCUAGCGUUGUUCGGAAUUACUGGGCGUAAAGAGUACGUAGGCGGUUAUUCAAGUCAGAGGUGAAAGCCCGGGGCUCAACCCCGGAACUGCCUUUGAAACUAGAUAGCUAGAAUCUUGGAGAGGUCAGUGGAAUUCCGAGUGUAGAGGUGAAAUUCGUAGAUAUUCGGAAGAACACCAGUGGCGAAGGCGACUGACUGGACAAGUAUUGACGCUGAGGUACGAAAGCGUGGGGAGCAAACAGGAUUAGAUACCCUGGUAGUCCACGCCGUAAACGAUGAUAACUAGUUGUUCGGGCACUUGGUGCCUGAGUGACGCAGCUAACGCAUUAAGUUAUCCGCCUGGGGAGUACGGUCGCAAGAUUA